GAUCAUCAAUACAUUUAAUAUGAGACGUGGAGGUCACCUUGUGAUUCAGUACGUAACUGCAAGGGAACACCUACAUGUCGCUAUUAGACCUUAACCGUCCCGACAUGAGCGGGGGUCUGGUGGGGGGGGGGUAUGCGGUUGUGCAGGGAGUGGGCCCUUAAAUGUGCUGUGGAUCCUCUUCCACAUGUAGGGAAUGUGUAUCCAAAUUGUGCCUGGUGACCAUCAGCGCAUGACGCAGCGCUAGAGGAGGCGGCGGCAACUGAGUCAGGGAAGAGAGAGAGAAGAGGGCAGGAUGAGGGAAGCGAGGAGGGGCACGCGGCCCACGCUGGAUCAGACCGGUUCUGCGAGCACUCACCACCACCCCAACGCUCCUCCUUCUUCCUUGUCUCCAGUUUCCUGUCUUCAUCGCAUUGUCUCGACAGCCGACGGGAACAUAAGUCAUAUCGUGUAAAAUAGGCAAGGAGCUUUUGUUGGAAGAAGGUGUGACUGAGAAGAAUCCAUCUUGGACGCGCAGCACAGGAUCUAGUUACUGUUGAAAAAUGGAUCAUCCGUCCUGACGGGCAGGACUGUGAAAGUCAUGUGCAGGAGCAGCAGGCGUGCGUAAACACUCAUCCAAACAUCUAAAGUAUCGACAGAUGCCAGGAGACCUCUUUAGCACAAACGUGUUCAGAUGGAAAGUCCACUGAGAGGAGUUCAUUGCAAAAUGUUUGCCCACUCUGUGACUUUAGCGCACAUUCUCAGCCCUGUAAACCAAAAACAGCUCUGCAUAACUCCAAACUGUUCCACUUAGCACCCGGCAGGGUGUCAUGAUGACCAUCAGAUGGAAGCACGCACAGUCUAUCUACGGCCUACGCAUGGCAGCACUGCGAAUCGCAUCACUGGCACAGAACAUCACGUCCUGUCCGCCCUGCAGCUGCCAGAACCAAAAUACGAGUGUCUCAUCGGUCAUUUGUUUGCCUGAUUCACCAUAGACAGGAACUGACAUUUGACACGUUUUAAUGCUUACUCUACAUACUAUUCCCUUUCUACGCAACCAGUAUGUUCCAGGUCAGUUUUGGCGCAGGUCAAGAAUAUCUUCAUAAUAAUAAAAUGAAAAUGCAUUUGAAUUUG